GGGGCAGGCAGCCAGGUGGGCGGCGGAGGCGUGGGGCCUGCUCCCGCCGGCACCAUGGCCAAGACCGUGGCCUAUUUCCACGACCCCGACGUGGGCAACUUCCACUACGGGGCAGGACACCCUAUGAAGCCCCAUCGCUUGGCAUUGACCCAUAGUUUGGUCCUUCACUACGGUCUCUAUAAGAUGAUUGUCUUCAAGCCCUACCAGGCCUCCCAGCAUGACAUGCGCCACUUUCAUUCUGAGGACUACAUCGACUUCUUGCAGAGAGUCAGCCCCACCAAUAUGCAAGGCUUCACCAAGAGCCUUAACGCCUUCAAUGUGGGCGAUGACUGCCCAGUGUUUCCUGGGCUCUUUGAGUUCUGUUCCCGUUACACAGGUGCAUCUCUGCAAGGAGCAACCCAGCUGAAUAACAAGAUCUGUGAUAUUGCCAUGAACUGGGCUGGUGGUCUGCACCACGCCAAGAAGUUUGAGGCCUCUGGCUUCUGCUAUGUCAAUGACAUUGUGAUUGGCAUCCUGGAGCUGCUCAAGUACCACCCUCGGGUGCUCUACAUUGAUACUGACAUCCACCAUGGUGAUGGAGUUCAGGAAGCCUUCUACCUCACUGACUGGGUGAUGACAGUCUCCUUCCACAAAUAUGGAAACUACUUCUUUCCUGGCACAGGUGAUAUGUAUGAAGUUGGAGCAGAGAGUGGCCGCUACUACUGUCUCAAUGUGCCCUUGCGGGAUGGCAUUGAUGACCAGAGUUACAAGCACCUUUUCCAGCCGGUUAUCAACGAGGUGGUGGACUUCUACCAACCUACGUGCAUUGUGCUCCAGUGUGGAGCUGACUCCCUGGGCUGUGAUCAUUUGGGCUGCUUCAACCUCAGCAUUCGAGGACAUGGGGAAUGUGUCGAAUAUGUCAAGAGCUUCAAUAUCCCUCUACUGGUGCUAGGUGGUGGUGGCUAUACUGUUCGAAAUGUUGCCCGCUGCUGGACAUAUGAAACAUCACUGCUGGUAGAAGAAGCCAUUAGUGAGGAGCUUCCCUAUAGUGAAUACUUUUGAGCACUUUGCCCCGGACUUCACGCUCCAUCCGGAUGUCAGCACCCGCACCAAGAAUCAGAACUCAUGCCAGUAUUUGGACCAGAUCCGCCAGACAAUCUUUGAAAACCUGAAGAUGCUGAACCAUGCACCCAGCGUCCAGAUUCAUGAUGUGCCCGCACACCUCCUGACCUAUGACAGAACUGAUGAGGCUGAUGCAGAGGAGAGGGGUCCUGAGGAGAACUAUAGCCGGCCAGAGGCACCCAACGAGUUCUGUGAUGGAGACCAUGACAAUGACAAGGAAAGCGACGUGGAGAUUUAAGAGCAGCUGGGCUUGCUCUGUUCCAAGGAAUUCCUUUUUACCUCUUGUUUGGGCAGGAGGGAAAAGGUGUGGCGCCCCAAGGCCUGGACGGUCACUUUCUGGGCUUUUACCAAUGCCGGAAGAAGGUUUAGAGACCACGUCUGGUUUUUGAACCAACUAUCCCCUUUCCUCUUCUUCCCAAGGCCUGACAAUGGUACUUAUUAGGGAUUGGACGGGGACAAAGAUAACUUCCUCUAGGACAUCUUGGGCAGUGGGCCCUAGAGGCUGGUCCCAGCCACUUUGGCCCCCUUACUCCUUCCCUGCUUCCCUCCAACCCAGAGACUUUUAGGGAUGAAGGUGUAGACAGGGCUGACUUUGCCUCUGACUUUCUCCUUUUCUGGGUUCUCCUACUGCAGGCCUUGUUUCCAGUGCAGGUGAAGAGUGAGGGAUUUUGGGGGGCUCUGGCUCCCUAACACCUUAACCCCCGAUGAUGGGAAGUAUGGUUUUGAGUUCCGGGGAGGAUGUGAAAAUGUCCUGUUCUAACUUUUGGCUUUGUGUCCAUUUUAUCACUAUUUUUAUCCAAUAAACCAAGUUGGUAUUUUUUGUAAAAAAAAAA